AGCUUGUAUGCAAAGAAAUAUUUUCCUGUUCUCUUUUGACUAUCUUUUGAAAGCUUUUGCUUUAUGUGUGAUACAGUUGAUAUUUAUCAAAACUUAGGUCAUUUGCAAUCAUCAUAUUUUCUAAAUUAUCUUACUGGUUUUAAAUGAUUUUUUUGUACAAUAUACACUUUGUUUUGUUUGAAAUAGUUGAGGUUUUUGUAUCACAACCUGUCCAAGCGUGACUUAUUUGGCAGUUAAAGGUAUUUAAGAUUUGUAUCUACAAAUUCACUGUAAAUCUGUUUAAAAUAGCCAGUCAAGGUCGUUAAAAACUUCCAUCAUCAUUCACUGAUUUUGUCAAUGAAUCUGAGAAGUUUGUGAUAUGGAAAUGACUUUUAAUAGAUGCAAAAUAAGUUCAAAUCAUUUUCCUUUGUUCCUGAAAAAAGUACUCAUUAUUAAUGAAAGCUAAUAUAAAAGUAGAUGGAAAAUGUAACUUUUUUUUAAGAGUUGGUUUACAUUUUUUGCAAUCAAACAUACCAUGUGCAUUGUAUAGUUGUGUUGGUUUAACAUUUUGUGAUAUGUGAGGUGCUAGUAUGUUAAUUAAUCAAAUGAGAUUGUAAUGUCAAAGUUUUUUUUCUGGAUGUAUACAAGAAGCCUUUUUUGUAGAACCACAGUGUAUAUCAGAGAGUCUGAUCUAUGGAAUCAUUGAGAAUGACAGUUCUUAUUCAUCAAGUUCAUCACAAAUUACAUCCUGUAGUUCUGCUAAGAGACACAUUUUGUGUGUGCACCUUACAUUUUAUAAGUUUUUUUACUUGAGAACUUUUUAUUUAUUUAAAAAGCCAUACAAAAUAACAUAAAUAUCAUUUCUAUAAGCC
rnacentral:lncRNA from 1 species